rnacentral:misc_RNA from 1 species
GUCUUUGAAAGAGUAGCAUACAAGCAACAAACAAUAGUUUUGUUUAUCGUUAUAACAUUUGUUAUUUCUCUUGUUCCAAUACCAUUAUUUUAAUAAAUGAUCUUUUUAGGAGCGGUUGGGGGUUAUUUUUUAUCAAAUAUCAUUUCACCAAUAUGGUUACUUCAUUAGCAUCAUGCAUUUUCAAUUUUCUUUUGGGACAUGGAAUUUGCCCAGUUACCAUGGUGAAAAUCUUGAUUAUAUCUCCAUUAAUGGGCUUCAAUGUUUUAAUAAAAAUUGUUGCGAG